GUGGGGAAUCUUGCGCAAUGGGCGAAAGCCUGACGCAGCCAUGCCGCGUGUGUGAAGAAGGUCUUCGGAUUGUAAAGCACUUUAAGUUGGGAGGAAGGGCAGUAAGUUAAUACCUUGCUGUUUUGACGUUACCGACAGAAUAAGCACCGGCUAACUUCGUGCCAGCAGCCGCGGUAAUACGAAGGGUGCAAGCGUUAAUCGGAAUUACUGGGCGUAAAGCGCGCGUAGGUGGUUUUGUAAGUUGGAGGUGAAAUCCCCGGGCUCAACCUGGGAACUGCCUCCAAAACUGCAUGACUAGAGUACGGUAGAGGGUAGUGGAAUUUCCUGUGUAGCGGUGAAAUGCGUAGAUAUAGGAAGGAACACCAGUGGCGAAGGCGACUACCUGGACUGAUACUGACACUGAGGUGCGAAAGCGUGGGGAGCAAACAGGAUUAGAUACCCGGGUAGUCC
rnacentral:rRNA from 1 species